rnacentral:rRNA from 1 species
CCUACGGGUGGCAGCAGUGGGGAAUAUUGCACAAUGGGGGAAACCCUGAUGCAGCGACGCCGCGUGAGUGAAGAAGUAUGUAGGUAUGUAAAGCCCUGUCAGCAGGGAAGAAAAUGACGGUACCUGACCAAGAAGCCCCGGCUAACUACGUGCCAGCAGCCGCGGCCAUACGUAGGGGGAAAGCGUUACCCGGAUUUACUGGGUGUAAAGGGAGCGUAGACGGCAGGGCAAGUCUGGAGUGAAAGGCGGGGGCUCAACCCCCGGACUGCUCUGGAAACUGCCAGGCUGGAGUGCAGGAGAGGUAAGUGGAAUUCCUAGUGUAGCGGUGAAAUGCAUAGAUAUUAGGAGGAACACCAGUGGCGAAGGCGGCUUACUGGACUGUAACUGACGUUGAGGCUCGAAAGCGUGGGGAGCAAACAGGAUUAGAUACCCCAGUAGUC